AUCCUCAUAAACCAUAUGAACAACAUGACCGACCACCUUGCCACAAACACUGUCUAACAAUUUGUUAAGCCUCCUCCUUCUCUCCUCAUUAUAUUUUGCCACGUGUAAUCAGAUUCAAGAGUUUGACAUGGGGUUUGCUUCCAAUGCUUGUUCUUUCUGAAAUCUCCGUCCAUUUGCUCCAAAAUUUGAACCCCUAACGUUAUGGGAAGGUCAACGUUUGAGGCGGUCGUCUCUGUUUUCGUCACGGUUCACCCGCACGAGACCUCUGCUCUGCUCCAUUCCUUCUUCUGCUUCUUUUUCGUUUUGAGUGCCUAUUUCGUGGUUCUUCCGUUGCGGGACGAGGGCGCCAUCUCGUUGGGGUUAUCGAACCUGCCAGGUCUAUUCGUGGGGUCUCUGUUGCUCACCCUCAUUGCUGCGCCCUUUUCUUCUCUCAUAUUCUCUCUGCCUAACCUUUCCAAAGGCAAGGCUUUGUUUUUGAUACACAGGUUCUUUAGUGUAUCCCUCAUUUUGUUCUUUAUUCUAUGGCACUCCUCAUCCGCCGGAUAUUCAAAGUCCAAUUUUACAGGAUCCAUGCCCUUGACCUAUCCCUCAAAGGAAGAAAGGAAAAUUGGUGACCAAGGCAGUCUUACCUCUUCAUUUGGUUGGGAUAACCAUGGAUGGUUCUAUAUCUCUGUUCGUAUAGGAUUGUUUCUUUGGGUUGCUUUGCUUAAUCUAAUUACAAUUUCUUCAACUUGGGCAAGGGUAAUUGAUGUGAUGGACAGUGAGUCAGGUUCAAGAUUAUUCGGGUUUAUUGGUGCUGGUGCCACCCUUGGACAACUUUUUGGGUCAUUGUUUGCCAUUGGGAUGGCUUUUGUUGGCCCAUUCUUGCUUUUGUUUGCUGCAUUAUUGAUGGAACUUGCAGCGCAGACAUCAAGAGGGAUAAAUUGUGGUACAUCUCAUGCAGAAGAAGAAAAAUUGUCUCCCAUUAGAAAAUCUGAUUCCAAUCAUGAAAACAAGACUGAUGAGAUUCAAAAGACAGAACAUACUCCAAGAGGUUCUCCAAAUUCAUCUACUUCAGGGAAGCUUCCAAUUUGGCCCAUAUUUGAAGGACUCUGGCUUAUAUUGUCAUCAACGUACCUGCUACAUGUAUCAUUGUUCAUCUGGCUGAGUGCAGUUGUCUCUUCAUUCUUCUAUUUUCAGAAAGUGAGUGUGAUUGCUACCACAGUUACCAGCUCUACAGGAAGAAGAAAGUUGUUUGCCCAGAUAAAUAGCUUUAUUGCUGUUUUCAUUCUUGGUGGACAGCUAUCCUUGACGGGACGCAUUCUUACUAUUGCUGGGGUGACUACAGCUAUAUGUGCAACACCGUUUGUUGGCUUCGUAAAUUUAGUUACUCUGGCUGUCUGGCCAAAUUGGGUUGCGGUUGCCAUUUGUGAGACAUUGAGAAAGGAUAGGAUCAUAUCAUCUGGGCAAUGAUCAACUGCACUGAAAUCGCCUCCUUCUCCUCUUUCGAGAUCUAUGCUUGUUGCCUUGAUUGGAGGUGUUUUAGGGUUUCUCUCUCUCUUCUUCCAUGGUGUCUUCCGAUAUCUCUUCUGCAACUAGUGUGUCUAGCCCAUCAGUCUUUACUAACUUUGUUAAUGUGCACUUGCCCAUUGAUAAGUUAGAUAUCACUAAUUAUGCGACUUAGGCAUAUUGUUCCACCCACUAUUCGACCAUCCAUUAAUGUUUACUUCUAUACUCAAGAUGUAUAUACCUCCGUGUAAGGAAGGUUUGUUGGAAUUCCCACAUUGACUAGAUCAUGCCAAUUUAUAAUAUAUAAGUGUAUAAAAAUUCACCUUACAAGCUAGUUUUGUAGGGUUGUGUUAGGCUUAAAGUCCACUUUUUAACAAUUAUCAAUCAAGGAUCAUGUUAAGGGUUGGAAGGUAUAUGAGAGAAAAAGGUAUAGGACGGAAGAAGAAGACCGAACGGUGGAAGGAGGAAGAUCAAGCCGAAUGGGGGAAAGAGGGGAAAGGACUGACCGAACGGGGGAAGGAGGAAGACCAGAGCCGAUCGGUUGAAGAGCAGGACCCAAAUAAAAUAUCUGGGGCAUUUGAUCUCAGAAACGGGGGUGGAGAUGGACCAAGACAAAGUGAAGGCAGUGAUGGAUUGGGAAAGACCCAAGACACUAAAAGCCUUAAGGGGGUUUCUGGGCCUGACGAGGUACUACAGGCGUUUCGUGAAGGAUUAUGGGAAGAUCGCCAAACCAUUAACCGAACGGCUUAAGAAGGGGCAGUUCACAUGGACCGAGCAAGCUGAUGUGGCCAUGUCUAGAUUAAAGGAGGUCGUGACUACUGCACCAGUGUUGAUUCUACCUAACUUUAACCAACCUUUCCAUAUUGAGUGUGAUGCUUCGGGAGGAGUAGGAGUUGUUCUAACUCAAGGAAAGAGAUCGAUUGCUUUGUUCAGCAAAGUACUGUCGGAGUGAUCACUGAAUAAAUCGGUAUAUGAAAAGGAACUCAUGGCUCUGGUUAUGGCCAUACAAUACUGGAGACCCUAUCUCUUGGGCCAAAGAUUUGUAGUUCACAAGGACCAAAGGAGCCUCCGAUACCUAUUGGAGCAACACAUCACUCAAAACCAGCAUAAUUGGAUCGCAAAGCUCCUGGGGUAUGAUUUUGAAAUUGUGUAUAAGACACGGGCUACCAACAGUUGUAGAUGCUUUAUCUCGAAAAAGGAAGGAAGGUAUGGAGGACGAGAAGGAAUUGAGGGUGGUGGCCAGGCCUUAUUGGCAAGACUUUGAGGAGAUUCUAAAGGAGGUUGAGGCAGAUGAAGCAUUGAAGAAGGUAAUGGAAGAUCUCGAGAAGGACCCCAACUCACACCCGACUUUUACCAUGGAGCAAGGCAAACUGCACUACAAGGGGAGACUGGUGAUCUCGGCUCAAUCCACCUGGGUCCCUAAGCUAAUAGUUGAAUUUCACAUGACUCAGACGGGGGGCAUUCAGGGGUAUACCGGACGUACCGCAAGAUAGCUCAAUCACUUUACUGGAUAGGGAUGAAGAAAGCAGUAAUUGAUUUUGUUGCAAGAUGCCUGGUGUGCCAACAACAUAAGUACCUGUCAUCUUCUCCACUUGGGUUGCUACAACCCUUGCCCAUACCGAACGCUAUUUGGGAGGAAGUAAGCAUGGAUUUUAUAGUAAAGUUGCCCAAAUCCCAAGGGUAUGAUGCUGUUUUGGUAGUGGUGGAUCGUCUCAGUAAAUUCCAAACAUCCAACCAAUAGGCACCCACCACAUUUGGAAGAUCAUUAGGACCCAAAGAAAUAAUUUUUAUUUUAGACAUGACUUGGAAUGCAAUCAGUAUCUCUGAUGACCCUAUCUGAGACGAGACGACGUGUGGGCUACACUGGGAAAAAGGAGUAGAACUUGAAACUCAGAUAUGCUCAAAUCUGAGUCAAAUGGGACGUCACCGACCAAUGGAAUAGACUCAAAAGGCUCCAACGACCCUUUUUGUGAUGGCAGCGGCUAGUGGGUCUUGUCAUAGCUAGGCGCACCUUUCUACCCUAACAAUGACCCCAAUUGUCUACUAUGACAGCCGCAGUGGUCGGGCAACAACGACAGUUGCAAUGGCCGGACAACGGUGACGGUGCUACUAUUGCAGCAGAAACGGAGUUCCCAAGGUUGGGAGCUCUGAUACCAUCUUGAAAAGAGAAUAACUUUUAUUAUUUAUGUUCAUGUCUAUUGCAUUCUCCUCCUUCCUCUGAAACAAUCUAAUCUUCUAAAACAGGGAAAUAAGGAAACAAUAUACUGAAAAAUACUCUAGAAGUCCUACAAAUAUUUUCUCUAAUUAGGAAGAUUCUAUAGAUAUCUUCUCUAUAAGAAAUUCUAUAGAUAUUUCCUCUAAUUACAACAUAUAGAUAAGGUAAUAUAUUUAUAAUGAAGAGUUAUACAAGUAUAUAUGACAACUAAACAUAAAUAUGGUAAAUAGAAGAUAUUGUUCAAAACAAUAUCAACAAUAUCUACCAAUAUCAAAAGUCUAUGUUUCCCUAAACAAUAUCUACCAAUACCAAUCUCAAUGAAUUCAAAAUUCAAAUAUUGACUAUCAAAAGCUUUAGGCUCUAGAUACCAUGUUGAAUAUAGUGAAAAAUAUAUAUGGGAUUAAUCUCCCUACAUGUCUAAAACACACUUAGUGAAAAAUAUGUAUGGUAAUAUAUUUAUAAUGAAGAAUUAUACAAGUAUAUAUAAAAACUAAACAUAAAUAUGGUAAAUAGAAGAUAUUGUUAAAAGCAAUAUCUACCAAUAUCAAACAAUAUCAAAAGUCUACAUUUCCUUAAUUAACAUAAAACGUAAUAUAUCUAACAUCUAUGUUUCUCUAAUUAACAUAAUACGUAAUAUAUCUAUCAUUUCCCAUAGUACUGGUAGUGUUUUGAAGCCUGCUCCACAACCUAGCUGCAGAGGGACAUCCUAAUUUCCGAGGCAUCAUAGCAAUCAGGAGAAAAUGAUAUCACACUAACUCCAAGUUUCCUAGAUGGAUCAUUCUUACGUAACAUCAUGAAAAAGUCUCCGAAGAGUAAAGGUUUGGAAGGAGUAAUGUCUUUGUUCCAGAUUCUGUUUCCCUAUGGCACAAUUGGUUUAGUCUAGUGAAUAUUUUGAUAACAUCCUUGAUAGAUAAAUCACCAUUUUUAGUAAACCUCCAUCUAACACUGUCGUGCUUAUCAAGCAUCCAUAGGAAUAAUAGCAUGCCUGAUUUGAUGUUGAAUGUCGUGGCAUGAAGGAAGAGUCAGGGAGCCCUGUGUCAGUUCACAGAAAUUAGUUAAUCUGCCGUUUGCCAGACAGUGCUUUCCUUGACCGGGUGGAUAAAAGGUUGUUACAUAUGUUGUGACAAGGCCAGGAAGAGAACUUUUAUUUACCGUUGUUUCGGAGGAUGAGAAGUAUAAAGCCAAAGUAUGCAUAGAUGUCCUGGUUCAAAGACUUGGAGAUGCUGCAGCAGCUGGAAUGUAC